GAUAAACGCUGGCGGCGUGCCUAACGCAUGCAAGUCGAACGAAGCCUUCGGGCUUAGUGGCGGACGGGUGAGUAACACGUAGGAACCUGCCCAGGAGUGGGGGACAACCCCGCGAAAGCGGGGCUAAUACCGCAUACGGUCUACGGACCAAAGCCUUCGGGCGCUCUUGGAGGGGCCUGCGGCGGAUUAGCUUGUUGGUGGGGUAACGGCCUACCAAGGCGACGAUCCGUAGCUGGUCUGAGAGGAUGGCCAGCCACACUGGGACUGAGACACGGCCCAGACUCCUACGGGAGGCAGCAGCGAGGAAUUUUCCGCAAUGGGCGAAAGCCUGACGGAGCAACGCCGCGUGGGGGAAGAAGGCCUUCGGGUUGUAAACCCCUGUUGCGAGGGAAGAAGAUCUGACGGUACCUCGCGAGGAACCCACGGCUAACUACGUGCCAGCCGCCGCAGUAA
rnacentral:rRNA from 1 species